rnacentral:lncRNA from 1 species
CUAGCUCCGCGCCGCGCGGACCCACCGAGCCCGCGCUCAGACGCCCCAGCUCCGCCGACAGGCCGCUCGCGCCGGGUCCUUCCUCUUCCCCAGGUGCAGGCAGAGCCCCCGGAGCCAUGGCCAGCCCUUCCGGCAGCUCCAAAGCCACUGGCAAGCCCCGAGGCAGGGAUGGCCGGCCCAGGAGAGAGGAGGACGACGUCACUCCCGAAGAGAAGAGGCUGCGGCUGUUGCUGGAGGAGGGAAGCGCACAGCCCGAUGACGGGGAGGACGCACCGCGGCCAGGCAGGAAGGAGACCGGCACCCAGACAGGUGGCGACGGCAGAGGAGUGCAGUGGCUCACACCUGUAAUCCCAGCACUUUGGGAGGCCGAGGCUGGUGGAUCACCUAAGGUCAGGAGUUCGAGACCAGCCUGGCCAACAUGGCAAAACUGUCUCUACCAAAAAUACAGAAAUUAGCCAGGUGUGAUUGCACACACCUGUAAUCCCAGCUACUUGGGAGACUGAGGCAGGAGAAUCGUUUGAACCUGGGAGACAGAGGUUGCAGUCAGCCGAGAUCGCACCACUGCACUUCAGCCGGCCUGGGUGACAGAGCGAGACUCUGUUUCAAAAAUAAAUAAAUAAAUAAAAUAGAAUUCUGAAUUUUAUUUUUAAUAAUUAUUUUUGUAAAGAGAAUGUCUUGUUUUUUGGAGUUGUUGAAUUGACAAAAAUUACGUACAAGAGGGUAUACAACAU